AGGGGGCAACGAUAGGUCAGUAUGCCCUGAAUCCCCCGGGCUACACGCGCGCUACAAAGACUGGGACAAUGGGUUCCGAUACCGAGAGGUAAAGGUAAUCCCGAAACCCAGCCAUAGUUCGGAUUGAGGGUUGUAACUCACCCUCAUGAAGUGGGAAUCCGUAGUAAUCGCGGAUCAACAUUCCGCGGUGAAUAUGCCCCUGCUCCUUGCACACACCGCCCGUCAAACCAUCUGAGUCGGGUCGGAGUGAGGCUUACCUCAUUGGGUAGGUCGAACUUCGGUUCGGCAAGGAGGGUUAAGUCGUAACAAGGUAUCCGUAGGGGAACCUGCGGAUGGAUCACCUCCUAAGAAA
rnacentral:rRNA from 1 species